UGGACGUGAGAACAUCUAGUUGUAGAUCUCUGCAUACCUGAGGCCUUCUAAAGGGUCCAACCAGGACAUGCUGUGUCAGCCCAUGCAAGCUGCAGGCAUGAGAUAGCAUGAGAUAUCAGGCAUCCUCUUCCAACUGCCUGAGCACAGGUCGGUUGUGCAGAGGUGAAUGGAGCUGUCUGUUUCUCCUUGUGUGCAGUGAUGGAGACUGUCCUGUCCAGCAGAUUGCAAUGGAUGCAUAAAUAAGAGC